UACGUAGGGUGCGAGCGUUGUCCGGAAUUAUUGGGCGUAAAGGGCUCGUAGGCGGUUUGUCACGUCGGGAGUGAAAACUCAGGGCUUAACCCUGAGCCUGCUUCCGAUACGGGCAGACUAGAGGUAUGCAGGGGAGAACGGAAUUCCUGGUGUAGCGGUGAAAUGCGCAGAUAUCAGGAGGAACACCAGUGGCGAAGGCGAGUCUCUGGACAUUUCCUGACGCUGAGGCACGAAAGCCAGGGGAGCAAACGGG
rnacentral:rRNA from 1 species